AUAAGGAUCGGCUAACUCCGUGCCAGCAGCCGCGGUAAUACGGAGGAUCCGAGCGUUAUCCGGAUUUAUUGGGUUUAAAGGGUGCGUAGGCGGCCUUUUAAGUCAGCGGUGAAAGUCUGUGGCUCAACCAUAGAAUUGCCGUUGAAACUGGGAGGCUUGAGUAUGUUUGAGGCAGGCGGAAUGCGUGGUGUAGCGGUGAAAUGCUUAGAUAUCACGCAGAACCCCGAUUGCGAAGGCAGCCUGCCAAGCCAUGACUGACGCUGAUGCACGAAAGCGUGGGGAUCAAACAGGAUUAGAUACCCUGGUAGUCCACGCAGUAAACGAUGAUCACUAGCUGUUUGCGAUACAGUGUAA
rnacentral:rRNA from 1 species